rnacentral:rRNA from 1 species
UGGGGAAUAUUGGACAAUGGGCGAAAGCCUGAUCCAGCCAUGCCGCGUGAGUGACGAAGGCCUUAGGGUUGUAAAACUCUUUCGUCGGGGACGAUAAUGACGGUACCCGAAGAAGAAGCUCCGGCUAACUUCGUGCCAGCAGCCGCGGUAAUACGAAGGGAGCUAGCGUUGUUCGGAAUCACUGGGCGUAAAGCGCACGUAGGCGGAUUUGUCAGUCAGGGGUGAAAUCCCGGGGCUCAACCUCGGAACCGCCCUUGAUACAGCAAGUCUUGAGUUCGAGAGAGGUGGGUGGAAUUCCUAGUGUAGAGGUGAAAUUCGUAGAUAUUAGGAAGAACACCGGUGGCGAAGGCGGCCCACUGGCUCGAUACUGACGCUGAGGUGCGAAAGCGUGGGGAGCAAACAGGAUUAGAUACCCGAGUAGUCCCUGAGCGGGCUGGCAAGGCGCAU